rnacentral:lncRNA from 1 species
UCGUAUCUAUCUCUAAAUGGCCAAUUCAAUAUGCCCCCCCCCCUGUGAGUAACAUACUUUAUUUUCUUUGUUUUAAGAGAAAAGAAACAGGGGUGGGAGUUCACCUUUGUUCCACUGACAUUUGGCUUCUUAAAAAGCAGCAGAGUGGGACCUCGCGCAGCUACUCCACUAAACUGGAGUGACAUAAUCACCACGCCUCCUUCCGUCACGCUCUCCCGGUCUGCUGCUGCUGCUUCUACUACUACAUUGAUUUACAGUUUGUAUAAAUGUAACUCUCUCUCACCAAUUAGGUGAAUGUGAGGAGGCGAGAAAUACACUUGUUCUGAACCCCAUUAGCAGGUGACCUCUGUUAGUGUUACUCAACCACAUUGUUGUGUAACACAUACAUUGUUGGUAUGCAUGUUAGCUAAUGUUUGCUAACCGCACUGUCGGGUAUAGGAGCUGUAUAGAUAGUUAGUUACCUAUUUAUUUAACAAGCUCGUUUCUGGGUUCAGUGUAUUGGCAAAUGUUUUCCCAAGUGCGAGCACGUUUGGGCUCAUGUUUGACCAGGUUUCCCAGUUGUGUAAACUCAAGAGUGGCACCUGCCCUCUGCAGACAUCAGCAUCGGACCUUCAGCUCGGAGUGUCAAGGUGUCAAGGUGCUGUAUGAUGGGCUUUGUCCCAUAUGUGUGACAGAGAUCCGGUUCCUUCAGUUUAUGCAGAGAAACCAGCCCGGGAAAGUAGACUUUAUUGAUAUCUCCCUACCAGACUAUGAUGCAGAGAAAAACAAGGAUGUCAGCUACGAGAUGGCCAUGGAGGAAAUGCAUGUGAUUGAUGGGAAAGACGAGGUAAACUUACAUUCAACUGGCUUUACUGGGACUGUAAUAUUCUGCAUGUCAAGUUGUCAUUUUGUAUUUCUUUUGCACAUUAGCCUUAAUGUAGUAUUGUGUGGAUAACAUUCUGUAUUGGCAGGUUCACCGUGGGAUCCCAGCUUUUGCAGUCAUGUACAGUGCAGUGGGCCUUGGCUGGUUGGGUCGCCUCAUGAUGUGGUCACCUGUGAGGCCAUUCAUGGACAAGUCCUAUACUGUCUUUGCCAAGAAUCGCUUAAAGUGGACCGGACGUGGGGAAGAGUGCAUUAAAGGACGCUGUGAAAAGAAAACACACUGACUUUUGACUACAGAAAAAAAUAAAUAAUGUCUAUUAAGUUCAUUGGUAAAGAAAAACUCAGUGUAACUCAGUCUGUUUGUUCUAAUGUGAACACUGGUUAGAGGACUCAAAAAUAUUGAGCCUAACCAUAACAAACGGUGCAGAGAAAAUGCUUUACUUCCAGAGACGAAGAGUAAUGAUGAUACUUAAUACAAGACUGUCAUACUAUGACAAAUAUACAGAACGGAGAAAAUCACUGAAGCAAAAUGCAGUCAAUUUCCUGUCGCGCACAGCCUCUCAGAUUGAGGUUCUUUUUAAAAGCAGAUAGAGAACCAAACUGUCAGGAAGCUGCCACUAGAUGUCAUUGUAAGUCUAAAAUAAUAUCAGCCGUGAGUGAAAUUGUUCUUCAGGAAUCGUGUCGUAUGACAUUCAUGAUUAUUUGCCAGGUCAUGAUUGACUUGUUCAUUUAAAGUUGCCUUGUAACAGAUACAAGCAGAAAUGAUAGGUGAAAUAAAUAUUUAGUGUUUCUGACGGUAAAGGAAAAUUAAAAAAUAAAACUGACUAAAUUGACAUUUAUAUUUUAUGUUACACUUUUAAGUAAUUUCUGUUUGCAGGUGAAAGUAUUCAGACUUUUUAAUCUCAGGUGCCUCUUUAUAGUGAGCAUGUUUCAUCAACAAUACAGUGCAAUGCAGAGCAGUGUGCGCUCCUCAGAGGUUUAAUAAACUGGCUGUAGGACAGUAAUGUUGACUGAACAUAUUCUAUGAUAUAAGGAAGACUUAUUUUUUAUUAUCCUUUUAUUUUCCACAACUGAAAUGCAUUUCAGGUAAGGCUUUAUAGUCCAGCCUGCAAAUUACUGGAGACUUAUUUAUAUAUUGCACAGGAUAUAAAAAGAUAACAAUGGGGUAACUGUAUGGAAAUGGAAUUAUUUACACUAUAAUUUAUUUUAAAAUGAUACAUUUACGAGAAAACAAAAAAAAGAUAAUUUACCUAUUGGGCUCAAAGGUUAUUAAAAUCAUGAUUAGAUACUGGGCUGUAAAAUAAUCUGUAAAUACAAAACGGGUUCACUGUAAUCUGAAACAUUUUAUUAUAUAGCACUACAGACGUGCUAUUGUUUUGUAUCACAUGUUGUGGCAUGUGCACAGUCUUAAGAGGCAGGUGUGUGUUGUGAUCUAUGAAGCCGCUAACAUCAGCUGACUGAGACCCUUGAGUCUCCCCCCCCCCCCCCCUAAUUUUAGGCUUGUGCUUCCAAUCAUGCAGUCAACAAUCACAGCACAUGUCUUUAAGCCUGUGUGGUCUUACAAAGCAGUGGUCAUGCUUCUCCGCCCCCCCAGCCCAGCUCAACCAAUGAGAUUAAAGUAUUGCACGGAAGAAGGGUUGAACUAAGAAUCAAAACACAGAACACAUAGUAGUUCUGACAGUUUGUCUAAAGUGGUGUAGUGGAUUUUAAAAAUUGAGACUUGGUUGAAGAGGAAUUGUGAAGACGGAAGAACUAGGUGUUGCGUUUUCAGGUGAAUAUUCAGUGUAAGCUUUUUAUCUGACAUCUCCUGUCAAGGUUAGAGUAGCUAUAAGCUACUUUGGUUCAUGACCUUUCCCCACUUAAGUGGAAAACCACCAUAGUAGAUGUAUAUGACUAAUGCAUAGCCAAGCUGUUUACCUGUCUUCUUGUAAAGGCACCACAUAGAGUUAAUAAUUGCAACAGUAAUUCAGUGUAUUCGUAUUUGCUAAGAAUAUAUGAGCAACUAUGUGCAAAACAGUUUUCUUCUGUCACAUCGUAUACAGUAAAUCUAUUGGCAGCAAGAGGAGUUAUUUACAGGUCAUGUUCACUGAUGUAUUUGCUCAUAGGUUUCAUGUUACAUUCAUAAAGAGACACAGUUCUAGGAAAAGGUGGACGUGCAAGGUUGUUGUGGAACAUAAUGUUUGUACACAAUCAGCUCUCCCUGAAAGCGCACACACUCAGUUAUGAGUGACAUUUAAUCUUUUCCUCCGAACAGAGGAGAUAUAGUAACUUAACUGAUGCUUGGACACAUUUGAUUUUAACUGAAGUGUGCGCUUUUUGUUUCGCAAGGUCAUUCAUUUGUUGAAAUGUUGUGUUUAAUAUAAAUGAAUGAAUUUAAACUAACAUAAUUUGCAUGUGGUUUACUAUGGAGUAUGACUACUUCUAACUUUGGUGAUCCCCUAACUUUUACUCGAGCGCCCCCAGCAAGAUGACACUCUUUGUUGUUUAAUUAAAUGUCUACAAU